rnacentral:rRNA from 1 species
AAACUUUCAACAACGGAUCUCUUGGUUCUGGCAUCGAUGAAGAACGCAGCGAAAUGCGAUAAGUAAUGUGAAUUGCAGGAUUCAGUGAAUCAUAGAAUCUUUGAACGCACAUUGCGCCCCUUGGUAUUCCGAGGGGCAUGCCUGUUCGAGCGUCAUUU